rnacentral:rRNA from 1 species
GAGUAACCUGCCCUUAACUCUGGGAUAAGCCUGGGAAACUGGGUCUAAUACCGGAUAGGAGCGNCCACCGCAUGGUGGGUGUUGGAAAGAUUUAUCGGUUUUGGAUGGACUCGCGGCCUAUCAGCUUGUUGGUGAGGUAAUGGCUCACCAAGGCGACGACGGGUAGCCGGCCUGAGAGGGUGACCGGCCACACUGGGACUGAGACACGGCCCAGACUCCUACGGGAGGCAGCAGUGGGGAAUAUUGCACAAUGGGCGCAAGCCUGAUGCAGCGACGCCGCGUGAGGGAUGACGGCCUUCGGGUUGUAAACCUCUUUCAGUAGGGAAGAAGCGAAAGUGACGGUACCUGCAGAAGAAGCACCGGCUAACUACGUGCCAGCAGCCGCGGUAAUACGUAGGGUGCGAGCGUUAUCCGGAAUUAUUGGGCGUAAAGAGCUCGUAGGCGGUUUGUCGCGUCUGUCGUGAAAGUCCGGGGCUUAACC